UACGUAGGGGGCAAGCGUUGUCCGGAUUUACUGGGCGUAAAGAGCGUGUAGGCGGCCAGGCAGGUCUGUUGUGAAAACUGGAGGCUCAACUUCCAGACGUCGACAGAAACCGCUUGGCUAGAGUCCGGAAGAGGAGAGUGGAAUUCCUGGUGUAGCGGUGAAAUGCGUAGAGAUCGGGAGGAACACCUGUGGCGAAGGCGGCCGACUGGGCCGACCCUGACGCUGAGGCGCGAAGGCGUGGGGAGCGAACGGG
rnacentral:rRNA from 1 species